rnacentral:rRNA from 1 species
GACGAACGCUGGCGGCGUGCUUAACACAUGCAAGUCGAACGGAAAGGCCCUGCUUUUGUGGGGUGCUCGAGUGGCGAACGGGUGAGUAACACGUGAGUAACCUGCCCUUGACUUUGGGAUAACUUCAGGAAACUGGGGCUAAUACCGGAUAGGAGCUCCUGCUGCAUGGUGGGGGUUGGAAAGUUUCGGCGGUUGGGGAUGGACUCGCGGCUUAUCAGCUUGUUGGUGGGGUAGUGGCUUACCAAGGCUUUGACGGGUAGCUGGCCUGAGAGGGUGACCGGCCACAAUGGGACUGAGAUACGGCCCAGACUCCUACGGGAGGCAGCAGUGGGGAAUAUUGCACAAUGGGCGGAAGCCUGAUGCAGCAACGCCGCGUGCGGGAUGACGGCCUUCGGGUUGUAAACCGCUUUCGCCUGUGACGAAGCGUGAGUGACGGUAAUGGGUAAAGAAGCACCGGCUAACUACGUG